rnacentral:rRNA from 1 species
AUUGAACGCUGGCGACAUGCCUUACACAUGCAAGUCGAACGGCAGCACGGGUGCUUGCACCUGGUGGCGAGUGGCGAACGGGUGAGUAAUACAUCGGAACAUGUCCUGUAGUGGGGGAUAGCCCGGCGAAAGCCGGAUUAAUACCGCAUACGAUCUACGGAUGAAAGCGGGGGACCUUCUGGCCUCGCGCUAUAGGGUUGGCCGAUGGCUGAUUAGCUAGUUGGUGGGGUAAAGGCCUACCAAGGCGACGAUCAGUAGCUGGUCUGAGAGGACGACCAGGCACCCUGGGACUGAGACACGGCCCAGACUCCUACGGGAGGCAGCAGUGGGGAAUUUUGGACAAUGGGCGAAAGCCUGAUCCAGCAAUGCCGCGUGUGUGAAGAAGGCCUUCGGGUUGUAAAGCACUUUUGUCCGGAAAGAAAUCCUUGGCCCUAAUACGGUCGGGGGAUGACGGUACCGGAAGAAUAAGCACCGGCUAACUACGUG